UACGUAGGGUCCGAGCGUUGUCCGGAAUUAUUGGGCGUAAAGGGCUCGUAGGCGGUCUGUUGCGUCGGGAGUGAAAACUUACAGCUUAACUGUGAGCGUGCUUCCGAUACGGGCAGACUUGAGGUAUUCAGGGGAGAACGGAAUUCCAGGUGUAGCGGUGAAAUGCGUAGAUAUCUGGAGGAACACCGGUGGCGAAGGCGGCAUCCUGGACCGGUAUUGACGCUGAGGCGCAAAAGCUAGGGGGAGCAAAGCGGGG
rnacentral:rRNA from 1 species